AUGACCUCCACCAUGGCCUGGACCCCUCUCCUCACCCUCAUUGUUCUCUGCACAGGAUCCUGGGCCCAGUCUGUGCUGACUCAGCAGGCCUCAGUGUCUGGGAAUCUGGGCCAGAGGGUCACCAUCUCCUGCACUGGAAGCAGCUCCGACAUCAGUGAUUAUGAUGUGCACUGGUACCAACAGCUCCCGGGAAUGGCCCCCAAACUCAUCAUCUAUGAUAACAGCAAACAGCCAUCUGGGGUCCCAGAAGGAUUCUCUGGCUCCAAGUCUGGCAACUCGGCUACCCUGACCAUCACUGGGCUCAAGUCUGAGGACGACGCUGAUUAUUACUGUCAAUGGAGAAGAUCAAAGAUUUGGGGGCCACCCAGCCCUGAUCUGGGGCCCCAGCAGGCUGUGUGCACCACGGCCGGGACUCCUCUCCUCCUCAUGCCUCUCUCUCCCUGCACAGGUUCCCUCUCCCGGCCAGUGCUGACUCAGCCACCUUGCCUCUGCAUCACCUGGAGCAUAUGCCAGACUCACCUGCACUGCCAGCAGUGACAUCAGUGUUGGUGGAUACAGGAUAUUCUGGACCAGUCAAAGCCAGGGAGCCCCCAGGUAUCUCUUGCUCUGCCACACAGACUCAAAUGAGCAUCAGGGCCCAGGAUCCCCAGCCACUUCUCUGGAUCCAAAGAUGACACAACUAACUCUGGUGUUCUGCUCGUCCCCGGGCUGCGACCUGAGGACGAGGCUCACUAUUACUGUAACACAUGGCCCGGCGUCACUAAUGCUCACAUGUGCUCCAGACCCCCGAGGACGUGAGA